rnacentral:lncRNA from 1 species
GGUCAUUGGCUUGCUUCCCCUGGCUUGUCCAUCUUGCUUUCUUAUAGGACCCUAGACUAGCCCAGGGAUGGCACCACCCACAGUGGGACCUGCCACCCUUGAUCAGUAAUUGAGGAAAUGCCUUACAGCUGGGUCUCAUGGAGGCAUUUCCUCAAGAGAGACUCCUAUCUUUGUGAUAACUCCAGCUUGGGUCAAGUUGACACACAAAAUCAGCCAGUAUACAUGCCUACUUUGUCCACACCAGAUGUAAGAUAUUUUGAACAGUAAUUGUUUUCUGCCUUUACUCUGAAAAUGGUUUAGCUUUAAUGUUUCUCACUAUAUUAAAAAAAAAAACUUUCCUAUUAUAAUUUGUAAAAUCAACUAACUUAGCACUAUUCCCUUAAGACAGUCUUUAUCUUUUUUAAUUGUUCUCCCUUGGAUUUCUGUGCAUUUAAUUACUUCAGGAAGCUGCAGAAAUAAUGUAUGAAUAAUAUUAUAUGAUAGUGAGAUAACUGUACUUCAUCUUGUACUUUUGGAAAUAUUCAGUUUGAUUACUAGUGUGUAAUGUGUUAAUCCUGGUCUUAACAAUUCUCUCUCUCUUUUUUUUUCUCCUGACUCAUCCCUCAUGCUCUUCCCUCUUUCCUCCUUCAAUUUGCUCCUCCCUCCAAUUUUACUCACUAUUUCUUAUUUUUUCCUAUAUUAUUAUUAACUAUUACUGUUGUUAUUGUUAGUAUUAUUUGAUAUUGUUGUUGUAUAAUUCAUUGUGAGAAGGCACAUAUGAAGACUGUAAGGUAAUUUGGGGAACUCAGGGCUCUCCUUGCCUAUAUUCAGAUUUGGGGAUGGAAUUUACAUGACUAGACCAGCGGGCAUGCUUCUUUACAAGCUGAGCUAUCUUGCCCACACCAACUAUAUCUGUUUAAAAUAUUGUUUGUCACCAUCAGUCCCAGAUUCAGUACUUCCAUAGUGAUUAUUUUUUAAAUUUCAAUCUAUCUGUAAUUGAGUGAAGCUGUUUUGGUAAAAAUGCAUAUAAAACAAAUAGAGAUAAAAAUGUCAAUAUACCACCCAUACUUUUGGAAAAUGCUAUAAUGAUUUUGGUAUGUCACUGGGAUCUAUAACAUUUUAAAGACACAACGAUUUUUUUUAAAAAAAUCACAAUUUGAAGUAAAAGUAUCCUUUGAACAUACAGGGUGACACAUUUACGAGAAUGUGUAAAGGUAUACUCAGGCUCUAUUCAUAGAUACUGUAUACAAAUUAAAACUUUAUUACAUAGUUGAAAAUUGAAAAUGAACAUGAAGUUAUCAAAGGUAAAAUUAAAAGAAAAAAUGAAUAAGUAACCAAUUCUUAGAAACCCUUUAGUUAAUUUUUGCCUCUUUAAAAAAAUAGCUAUUGAGAUGUGUUUUAGAGACAAGGAUUAUUAUUAACCCUUCUCAGAGUUCUGAGAAUUCAAGCAUGUGACAGUGACUUCAACUUCACUCUGUUGAGAACCUCUUUGUAGGAUUACAGUGGUGAAAGUCUAUGUUAUUGAGGGACAACAACCACUUAGCCUAUCAAGAAGAAAAAGCUAUCAGUCAGGUUUGUACUUUUUUUUUUUUUUUUUUUUGCCCUGGAAAUUCCAUAUCCAUCCCUCCUCUGAGGUUUCUACUUCUAUCAGCAACUUAGUUUUCAGAAAACUCAGGAGUCCUGAGAGGUAUCUCACCACACCCAAGGGCAACACCUCCCAUGACAUUAACAUCAUCCAUAAGUUCCACCCACCUCAUUGAGUCUAUAUGAACUUUCCAUAUUUCUCACCGUGCACCAGACUUGGAACACAUGAGCCUUUUGGGAAUAACACAGAGGUGGGCAAAACUUCAUUAUCUGUAUCUCAACUACCUUCUAUGUUCUUUCUUUAGUUAAUACUUUAGAAGGAAGACAGUGUGGUGGGGAACAUAGAGAUCAAACUUUGGAUUCUAUCCAAUGCAUUUCCAGUUUUAAAGUACCAAUUAGGAGCCAAGCAUAACUAGGGAACAUAUUGUCAUCUUAAUAUCUGUCACUUCCUACAGAGUGGGUGGAUUUUAAUAAACUAUGUUCUCUAGAUUUGAAAUGUAUAUUUGAAAAAUGCUGAUAACACUGUCUAGCACAUAACAACCAAAGAAUUAAGGACCAAUGUAGGAAGUUUUUAUUUUUAUACUGUUCAUUGAUAACCUAUUCUUUUACAAGUUUUUAUUGAAAAAAUAUUUUUCAUUAAUAUAUUCUGAUCAUCACUUUUGUUUCUCACUUCCAAUGAAAUACCUACCUCCUACCUCAUCCAACUCCAUGCCUUCACUCUUUCUCAUUAGAAAAGGAAUAAUAAAACAAUAAAAC